rnacentral:rRNA from 1 species
UACGUAGGGGGCGAGCGUUGUCCGGAUUUAUUGGGCGUAAAGAGCGUGUAGGCGGCCAUGCAGGUCAGCUGUGAAAACUCGAGGCUCAACCUCGAGACGUCGGUUGAAACCGUAUGGCUAGAGUCCGGAAGAGGAGAGUGGAAUUCCCGGUGUAGCGGUGAAAUGCGCAGAUAUCGGGAAGAACACCCGUGGCGAAGGCGGCUCUCUGGGACGGUACUGACGCUGAGACGCGAAAGCGUGGGGAGCGAACAGG